AACGAACGCUGGCGGCGUGCUUAACACAUGCAAGUCGAACGCGAACGUUUUCUUCGGAAAACUAGUAGAGUGGCGCACGGGUGAGUAACGCGUAAGUAAUCUACCCUCGCAUCUGGGAUAACCCACCGAAAGGUGUGCUAAUACCUGAUACGUCUGGAAUUAUACUUUGAAUCUAGAGAAAGGUGGCCUCUUCAUGAAAGCUACUGUGCGGGGAGGAGCUUGCGUACCAUUAGCUAGUUGGUAGGGUAAGGGCCUACCAAGGCGAUGAUGGUUAGCGGGUCUGAGAGGAUGAUCCGCCACACUGGAACUGAAACACGGACCAGACUCCUACGGGAGGCAGCAGUGAGGAAUAUUGCGCAAUGGGGGCAACCCUGACGCAGCGACGCCGCGUGGAUGAUGAAGGCCUUCGGGUUGUAAAAUCCUGUCAGAUGGGAAGAAGUGGUACAUAUCCAAUACAUAUGUACUUUGACGGUACCAUCAAAGGAAGCACCGGCUAACUCCGUGCCAGCAGCCGCGGUAAUACGGAGGGUGCAAGCGUUGUUCGGAAUUACUGGGCGUAAAGCGCGCGUAGGCGGCUAUAUAAGUCAGAUGUGAAAGCCCGCGGCUCAACCGUGGAAGUGCAUUUGAAACUGUGUAGCUUGAGUACUGGAGGGGGUAGUGGAAUUCCCGGUGUAGAGGUGAAAUUCGUAG
rnacentral:rRNA from 1 species